GGGCUAUUAGCUCAGUUGGUUAGAGCGCACCCCUGAUAAGGGUGAGAGAUGUCCCAGGUUCAAAUCCUGGAUGGCCCA
rnacentral:tRNA from 1 species